CCUCCUCUUCCUUUAAUAUGAUGUGCAUGAUUGAGGCAGGUGUAAGGAAAGACACGCCAUUAACAAUAAUGAAAUAUUUUGACUUACAACAUCUUCAAAAGGCAUAUCUCCCCUCUGAUUAAAUUUAAACCCCACGAUAAAUCUGUCCCAAAACAUGUGCAUAGAUUAUGCCACAACAGGUGACAGUUUACUUAAGUGUCUGUUUUGUUCCAGACACUAUGCCAGAUACUGAAAAUACAACAGACCAACAAAAACACAACCCUUGUGGAGUUCCCAUUGUGGUGCAAUGAAAACCAAUCCAACCAUAUUCGUGAGGACGCAGGUUCAAUCCUUGGCCUCGCUCGGUGGGUCGGGGAUCCUGCAUUGCCUCGAGCUGUGGUGUAGGUCCGUUUAGUUCAUGGCUGGGUUCCAGAUCUGACAACAUGGCUCAAUGCACAGUAAGAGCUUAAAAAAUAUUUGUGGAGCGAGAGAAGGAAGGAGAAGACAGGCAGGCAGACCACUCAAAACUGUGGUUUGAGGGCUUGACUAAAACGUGGUAUUAUGAACUAAAAUCUGUAACAGUGGUGGGGAGGGGGUGUCGAAGAGCUGAAACGCAAAGACUGACUGUCUUGAGUUCUAGAGUAUGUUAUCUGCCCAGACAGUGCCUUGAUAAAUCUUUUCUGCUCAGAAAAGGAUAAAGAGGAAGCCAGGAAGUGCCUGUGGAGGGCCCAGGGUACUGCACAAAAGCAAGUAUUUCUCAAACAGAAUCUCUCCUUUCGUCCUCACCACAGGACGGAAGUACCCCUACUUCUGCACAUGAAGAAACUGAGACUAAAGGGUGAACUGACUCACUCAAGGUGACACGGCUGGAUGUGGCAGAAGCCAAACUGAAAUUCCCACCCCAUCCACCACACAACACCAGAAGGAAACCAAGUUUAGUCACCAGAAUUUUUCAUAUACUUUAAGAAUAUGGUUGGGCUUUUCCUCAUCCCUUUCUACUUUGGGAUGCUUCUGCAUUCAGAGUCUCAGAUUUACACGGAGAGAUGGCUUUGACGGCCGUAUUUCUGUGUAUCUAAGAAUCUCCUUGCCUAAGCUUGACCUCUGAAGUCUCUAAAACUUGAUCACAGCCAAUUAAACUCCUUGUGUUUGAACUUCUUUACCAUGAAAAAAAAAAAGUCUUAUCCUCCCUUCGUUAUUUUAAAUUUCCCCAAUCCCUGCUUUACAAAUCGUACAAACUGACCUCUCCAUUCCUUUGCAAAAUCACAUAAAAACCAAAGUAAAUGUUUCAUCUUGUCAGCUCAUCCCAGGUACCACUGGGAUCCAGUCCCUUAAACCACCCAGUCCCUUAAACCAAUGGCUGAAAGCUGAGAGGAUAUGCAAGACAAGCCUGAGAGUUUUAACUGGCAGACCUGCUCAGAUCCUCAUUGUGCUGUUUGAAACUCGGACCACAUGAGACAACAGUUCACUUUUUUCACCGUGGCAACAGAUUCAACCUCUUGGCCCUGUGAAAGUCAUCGGAAUAUAUUCAACCAAAAGAAAAAUGAAAAGAGAGAAAGAGAGAGAGAAAGGAGGAGGGUGAAACUUCCUAUCUUCUGACUGAAGAUAUAUUCAGCACUCUGAUUUUUUUUUAUGCACAUUUGAUCAUGCUGUUGACAGCCCUGGAAGUUAAGGAAUAUGGACUGUUGCACAGAGGUUUCAAACCUGGAUGGAAACCAAUGGCAGGCUCCUUUUGACAGUCGAAUAAUGACAAGCACGUUGCAGGCCAAUGCCCGUCAUUCACCAACAUCUCCGACCUGCUCCAGC
rnacentral:lncRNA from 1 species